rnacentral:rRNA from 1 species
GAUGAACGCUGGCGGCGUGCCUAAUACAUGCAAGUCGAGCGAACAGACGGGGAGCUUGCUCCCCCGACGUUAGCGGCGGACGGGUGAGUAACACGUGGGUAACCUACCUAUAAGACUGGAAUAACUCCGGGAAACCGGGGCUAAUGCCGGAUAACAUGUGUGGACCGCAUGGUCCUACAGUGAAAGAUGGUCUUGCUGUCACUUAUAGAUGGACCCGCGCCGUAUUAGCUAGUUGGUAAGGUAACGGCUUACCAAGGCAACGAUACGUAGCCGACCUGAG